UGCCCAACCGCGCUUGCAACCAUCUUGCAUUGGUAGGGUUUGUAGCUCUUCGUGCGAACCCCGACGACGAAAUCAUUCCAUCCAGCCGUCGAAGCCGUGUUCUCGGGGGUUUGGGAUUGUGAUUUUGUAUAAAUCUUUAAGUUAUGUGCCAACAAUAUUACAAAACAGAGUAAUAUAACACCGUUGUGCUCGGUCGUGUCACAUAAUCUGAAACGUUACGAGCUGACUGCAAAGCUGCUCUGAAGGAUCUGCCGAGCCCGCAUUAUCUGUGAUAUACAGCUCAGCCUCUCGUCCGUCCUAAAAGGGCUGGGCCAAUCGGGCUAGGAGGC